rnacentral:rRNA from 1 species
AGAGUUUGAUCAUGGCUCAGGAUGAACGCUGGCGGCGUGCUUAACACAUGCAAGUCGAACGAUGAUCCGGUGCUUGCACCGGGGAUUAGUGGCGAACGGGUGAGUAACACGUGAGUAACCUGCCCUUGACUCUGGGAUAAGCCUGGGAAACUGGGUCUAAUACCGGAUAUGACUCCUCAUCGCAUGGUGGGGGGUGGAAAGCUUUUGUGGUUUUGGAUGGACUCGCGGCCUAUCAGCUUGUUGGUGAGGUAAUGGCUCACCAAGGCGACGACGGGUAGCCGGCCUGAGAGGGUGACCGGCCACACUGGGACUGAGACACGGCCCAGACUCCUACGGGAGGCAGCAGUGGGGAAUAUUGCACAAUGGGCGAAAGCCUGAUGCAGCGACGCCGCGUGAGGGAUGACGGCCUUCGGGUUGUAAACCUCUUUCAGUAGGGAAGAAGCGAAAGUGACGGUACCUGCAGAAGAAGCGCCGGCUAACUACGUGCCAGCCGCCGCGGUAAUAC